GUAGGUGAACCUGCGGAAGGAUCAUUAAAGAAUCGCCCCGUUUUUUGAAAUGGGUUCUAUUCCCAAACCGUGUAUACAUACCUUUGUUGCUUUGGCAGGCCGCCGCUUAGGCGUUGGCUCCGGCUGACUGCGCCUGCCAGAGGACCCAAACUCGUUUGUUUAGUGAUGUCUGAGUACUAUAUAAUAGUUAAAACUUUCAACAACGGAUCUCUUGGUUCUGGCAUCGAUGAAGAACGCAGCAUCUGACUGA
rnacentral:misc_RNA from 1 species